rnacentral:rRNA from 1 species
UACGUAGGGGCCGAGCGUUGUCCGGAGUUAUUGGGCGUAAAGCGCGCGCAGGCGGCUUGACGCGCCCGACGUGAAAGCCCCCGGCUUAACCGGGGAGGGUCGUCGGGUACGGUCAGGCUUGAGGGCGGGAGAGGGUGGUGGAAUUCCCGGUGUAGUGGUGAAAUACGUAGAGAUUGGGAAGAACACCAGUGGCGAAGGCGGCUAUCUGGACGGUUUCUGACACUAAGACUCGAAAGCGUGGGGAGCAAACAGG